rnacentral:rRNA from 1 species
AACGAACGUUAGCGGCGCGCCUAACACAUGCAAGUCGCACGAGAAUGGGCUUCGGCCCCGGUAAAGUGGCGCACGGGUGAGUAACACGUGGGUAAUCUGCCCUCGAGCGGGGGAUAACAUUCCGAAAGGAGUGCUAAUACCGCAUACGACCACGUCCUCGAAAGAGGAUGGGGUAAAAGCUGGCCUCUAUACAUAAGCUAGCACUUGAGUAUGAGCUCGCGGCGCGUCAGCUAGUUGGUGAGGUAAUGGCUCACCAAGGCGAAGACGCGUAGCUGGUCUGAGAGGAUGAUCAGCCACACUGGAACUGAGACACGGUCCAGACUCCUACGGGAGGCAGCAGUGGGGAAUCUUGCGCAAUGGGCGAAAGCCUGACGCAGCGACGCCGCGUGAGUGAUGAAGGCCUUCGGGUUGUAAAGCUCUGUGGGGAGAGACGAAUAAGUGCAGCCUAAUACGUUGCAUGAUGACGGUAUCUCCUUAGCAAGCACCGGCUAACUCUGUGCCAGCCGCCGCGGUAACAC